rnacentral:rRNA from 1 species
UGGUGGUGUGAAUUGUCUGCUUAAUUGCGACAACGAACGAGACCUUCGCCAGCUUAUUAGGGAUGUCUUCUUCGGAUCUCAACCCUUCUUAGCGG